rnacentral:rRNA from 1 species
AUGAACGCUGGCGGCGUGCUUAAAACAUGCAAGUCGAGCGAACAGACGAGGAGCUUGCUCCUCUGACGUUAGCGGCGGACGGGUGAGUAACACGUGGAUAACCUACCUAUAAGACUGGGAUAACUUCGGGAAACCGGAGCUAAUACCGGAUAAUAUAUUGAACCGCAUGGUUCAAUAGUGAAAGACGGUUUUGCUGUCACUUAUAGAUGGAUCCGCGCCGCAUUAGCUAGUUGGUAAGGUAACGGCUUACCAAGGCAACGAUGCGUAGCCGACCUGAGAGGGUGAUCGGCCACACUGGAACUGAGACACGGUCCAGACUCCUACGGGAGGCAGCAGUAGGGAAUCUUCCGCAGUGGGCGAAAGCCUGACGGAGCAACGCCGCGUGAGUGAUGAAGGUCUUCGAAUCGUAAAACUCUGUUAUUAGGGAAGAACAAAUGUGUAAGUAACUAUGCACGUCUUGACGGUACCUAAUCAGAAAGCCACGGCUAACUACGUGCCAGCAGCCGCGGUAAUACGUAGGUGGCAAGCGUUAUCCGGAAUUAUUGGGCGUAAAGCGCGCGUAGGCGGUUUUUUAAGUCUGAUGUGAAAGCCCACGGCUCAACCGUGGAGGGUCAUUGGAAACUGGAAAACUUGAGUGCAGAAGAGGAAAGUGGAAUUCCAUGUGUAGCGGUGAAAUGCGCAGAGAUAUGGAGGAACACCAGUGGCGAAGGCGACUUUCUGGUCUGUAACUGACGCUGAUGUGCGAAAGCGUGGGGAUCAAACAGGAUUAGAUACCCUGGUAGUCCACGCCGUAAACGAUGAGUGCUAAGUGUUAGGGGGUUUCCGCCCCUUAGUGCUGCAGCUAACGCAUUAAGCACUCCGCCUGGGGAGUACGACCG